GUGCUUGCACUCUGUGAAACAAGAUACAGGCAAGCGGCGGACGGGUGAGUAACACGUGGGUAACCUGCCCAAGAGAUCGGGAUAACACCUGGAAACAGAUGCUAAUACCGGAUAACAACAGAUGAUGCCUAUCAACUGUUUAAAAGAUGGUUCUGCUAUCACUCUUGGAUGGACCUGCGGUGCAUUAGCUAGUUGGUAGGGUAACGGCCUACCAAGGCGAUGAUGCAUAGCCGAGUUGAGAGACUGAUCGGCCACAUUGGGACUGAGACACGGCCCAAACUCCUACGGGAGGCAGCAGUAGGGAAUCUUCCACAAUGGACGCAAGUCUGAUGGAGCAACGCCGCGUGAGUGAAGAAGGGCUUCGGCUCGUAAAGCUCUGUUGUUGGCGAAGAAGGACAGGGGUAGUAACUGACCUUUGUUUGACGGUAAUCAAUUAGAAAGUCACGGCUAACUACGUGCCAGCAGCCGCGGUAAUACGUAGGUGGCAAGCGUUGUCCGGAUUUAUUGGGCGUAAAGCGAGUGCAGGCGGCUCGAUAAGUCUGAUGUGAAAGCCUUCGGCUCAACCGGAGAAUUGCAUCAGAAACUGUCGAGCUUGAGUACUGAAGAGGAGAGUGGAACUCCAUGUGUAGCGGUGAAAUGCGUAGAUAUAUGGAAGAACACCGGUGGCGAAGGCGGCUCUCUGGUCUGUUACUGA
rnacentral:rRNA from 1 species